rnacentral:tRNA from 1 species
GGGCUCGUAGCUCAGCUUGGAUAGAGCAGGUGGCUUCGGACCAUCAGGUCGUGGGUUCGAAUCCUUCCGGGCCCG